rnacentral:rRNA from 2 species
GACGGAGGGGGCUAGCGUUGUUCGGAAUGACUGGGCGUAAAGGGCGCGUAGGCGGCUUAUCAAGUCAGGUGUGAAAGCCUUGGGCUUAACCCAAGAACUGCGCUUGAUACUGAUAGGCUUGAGGAUGAUAGAGGAAAGCGGAAUUCCUAGUGUAGAGGUGAAAUUCGUAGAUAUUAGGAAGAACACCAGAGGCGAAGGCGGCUUUCUGGAUCAUAUCUGACGCUGAGGCGCGAAAGCGUGGGGAGCAAACAGG